UACGAAGGGGGCUAGCGUUGCUCGGAAUGACUGGGCGUAAAGGGCGCGUAGGCGGCUUACAUAGUUAGGCGUGAAAUUCCUGGGCUCAACCUGGGGACUGCGUCUAAUACAUGUAGGCUUGAGUGUGAAAGAGGGUCGUGGAAUUUCCAGUGUAGGGGUGAAAUCCGUAGAUAUCAGGAAGAACACCAGUGGCGAAAGCGGCUUGCUAGAACGCAACUGACGCUUAGGCGCGAAAGCGUGGGGAGCAAACAGG
rnacentral:rRNA from 1 species